GCAAACUUGGUCAUUUAGAGGAAGUAAAAGUCGUAACAAGGUUUCCGUAGGUGAACCUGCGGAAGGAUCAUUAGAAAUGUUUUGUUCACCCGGUCCUUGGCUUCAAUUCGUUCUGCCUUGAAAGAGGUUGGAAUGAUUGGCCGGAUUCUGGGCACAUCAUUUCCCAGUCUCUCUGCCCAAGACUUGUUCUCGGAAAGAGGGCUGGAACUUUUUGUUUGAGGAGUUUUCUCUUCAUUCAUAUCUACACCUUUGAACUUUUUCUAAAAGUCUGAACCUUUUAUGAAUAUUUGUGUAAAGUAUUUUUCGAAAUAUUUUAUGUGAAUAUGAAAUAAUAACAAAAACAACUUUCAACAAUGGAUCCCUCGACUCUCCCAUCGAUGAAGAACGCAGC
rnacentral:misc_RNA from 1 species